UACGUAGGGCGCAAGCGUUAUCCGGAAUUAUUGGGCGUAAAGAGCUCGUAGGCGGUUUGUCGCGUCUGCCGUGAAAGUCCGGGGCUCAACUCCGGAUCUGCGGUGGGUACGGGCAGACUAGAGUGAUGUAGGGGAGACUGGAAUUCCUGGUGUAGCGGUGAAAUGCGCAGAUAUCAGGAGGAACACCGAUGGCGAAGGCAGUGAUCUGGGCCGGUACUGACGCUGAUGCGCGAAAGCUAGGGGAGCGAACGGG
rnacentral:rRNA from 1 species